rnacentral:lncRNA from 1 species
GUGUUUAUGGGCGGAAAAACAGGGAAUUUACGGAAAGUUGGAAAUGUCUGCGGAAGAGAAAGCAUAAUGUAAGUAAACGUUUCAACAAUGCUUGGUAGGCCUGUCCACAAGCUGAUCAAAAUUUCGAAAAAAGUUGCUCAAAAAAUCAUAAAAAGUUGCUCGAAAAAUGCUUUUUUUUCUAAAAAUUGCUAGUUUUUAAAGAGAGGUUGCUUGUUCAGUUACUGUUUGAGUUUUUAUUCGUUGUGUUUACAAAGUGGGAUCAAGUUUUUUGAAAUCCUCACAUUUUCAUGAACUGGUAAUGGACAACUAUAUUAAAAUACGUUAAAAGUUUAGAGCAUCAACAACAUCGGGAGAAAAAGAGAACGCUUUCAAGUUGUACAUGUAUUUGUUAAAAACUGAGAUUUUCCUCCAUCGAAGUUUAUACUAGCAAAAUUGGAUAAUUACUGUUUCAAUUAGUAAUUAGUAUCAAUUACAUCUGCUUAAUUAUUACGCACGGUCCUUGGCUAAUUAAUUCCAAGUCCUUAAUUAGAAUACAGCAAUUGGUUAUUAGUAUCAAUUAUGUCCGCUUAAUUAUUACGCACGAUCCUUGGCUAAUUAAUUCCAAAUCCUUAAUUAUUAGAAUACAUCAAUUAGUUAUUAGUAUCAAUUACAUCUGCUUAAUUAUUACGCACGGUCCUUGGCUAAUUAAUUCCAAGUCCUUAAUUAGAAUACAUCGAUUAGUUAUUAGUAUCAAUUACAUCCGCUUAAUUAUUACGCACGGUCUUUGGCCAAUUAAUUCCAAGCCCUUAAUUAGAAUACAUCAAUUGGUUAUUAGUAUCAAUUACGUCUGCUUAAUUAUUACGCACGGUCCUUGGCUAAUUAAAUCCAAGUCCUUAAUUAGAAUAUAUCAAUUAGUUAUUAGUAUCAAUUACGUCUGCUACAUUAUCGUAUUAUUAUCACAAAAUGGAUUCAUCUACAUUUCAUUGCACGGAAUUGCUGAGCAAGAUCAGACAACGAAGAACAAGUUUUUGUCUAAACCAUAGUCAAUGAAGAUAUGAUCUGGAGAGAGUUUUAAAUUUGUUUCAUUUUUUGUUUAUUUCUAUGUAAAUUUGUGCACGGUCGAGACAUUGAUUUUUUGGCACAACAAUGAAGCAAUCAUCCAAUGGCACACUCAAACGUACAGUGGAAAUAUUAACAAGCAAAUGUUGAGAAGAUUUAGUCAGAGUGAAGCUGUG